GGAGGAUGCUAGUUAUAGGAUUAAAGCCGGAUGAUUGAUUCUGAAAUGAGAAGGUUUAUUGAAUGCAGAUUCAAUUUAAAAAUCAAAUGGAAUCUUAACUAGGAACCUGAUUGGCUUUGAUUUAUCUUAUAUAAUAACAGAUGCCUCUUCAUGUGUUAGAACACUUAGUUGUGAGCAAUGUUUUCUGCACUUGUUUGGUCCUAAUGUCAUAUUAGGGAGAGGGAUGAGUGUCAAAGGUUCAAAUUACAACAAAAUAAUAUAUAUAAAAUUACAAUCAAGUUAAAAGAUACUAAAUUUUCUUGUACAAUUAAUAUUGAUUUAAAGGUUUUAGUUUGAAUAUAGAAUUUUUUGAUAAAGGAAAUAAUUAAAACAAAGGAUAAUAUAACCACAAAUAUUUGCAUUGCAAGUGUACAAAGCUUGAGAGAGAGAUAGAGAGAGGUAUUUUAAUUACACACACAUGCAUGUUCUCUCAUGAAUACUUUUUUGCUUCAUAUCUUUGAUCCCCAUUGGUGGUUUUUUAUACCUAUUGCUAAUUAGUUUCUUGCCUUGUUUAAAAAAGAAUGGUAAAUUACAACUAAAAUCCCUGAGGUUUAUAUGAUAAAACCCAAAGAUUAGUCCUUGGUAUAACUUUAGUAGUGAUUUGGUCCUUGAAUUUUAUUUCCGUUAACAAUUUGGUCCUCACAUUUUACUUCUACUAACAAAUUGAUCAUAUGACCAGUGAAUUUUAAGGACCAAUUUGUUAAUAUAAGUAAGAUGUGAGGAAUGAGGACUAAAUUGUUAACAUAAAUAAAAUUUAAGGACCAAAUCGAUAUCAAACUUACACUGGGAACUAAUUUGUGAGUUUUGUUAAACUGCAGGGACUUAGUUGUAAUUUAUCCAAAAUAAAUUGGUGCAGCAUCUAUUUAUUUAGGGUAUAUUUUCUGACAACACCAUUGUAUGUGAGAAUCACGAUUGCUCUUGAUUUCGGAAAUAAAUAUGAUCUUUAAUUUUGCCUGGGUUGUCAUCGUGCUUCCUGUGUUUCUUUGUUUUCUAGUGAUGUGGUUGUUGGGAAGAAAAAAAAGGAGAGUAGCAUUGAAAUGAAUG
rnacentral:misc_RNA from 1 species